GGAAAACCCCACAGUGACGCUCCAUGAUCGGCCGAGUGUGGACGGACAGACGAGCGGACCAAUAGCUGUGCGGCGUGGGCGGGGCUACACUGCGGCCAGCCAAUAGACGACCGAUAGAAGACUUGUUUACUUCAAACAUUAGACGUACAACACAUGAAGAGUCAGCAAAAAAAAGACAGAAGCAAGUCAGGAGGCGCUCAUUCCAAUGCCUCGGGUUUGGCACGCUGUGAUGAUGCCACAGAGCAGAGAAGGAGGAAUGGUACUGGCUCCUCCGCUUCUUCCUCGAGGGCCUCGGAUAUCGGACCGUUCGACUGCAGCUCCUCGCCCCUGCCGGCUCUCGAUAAGAC